CAGUUGAGAGAGAGAAACUUGUCGGCGGUGAUCCUGUUACCUGCUUGCCUCCAUUUUGUGUUGGACGGCCCAUUUCCGGGUUUCCGAGAAGCGACAGAAACAGUUGUGAAGCGAGUCUCGCUUUGCUUACAAGAGCGGAAUAAAAAGUACAUGACAAUAGGAUAUAAACUGGAGAUACGCGUACCUCGAAUUAGCUCUUGCACCUAAAUAGAACUUGUUUAGCGCCAUAGUUCAGACGCCAGCUAAAUUACACUGGACCGCUGACAGCUGGCGCGAGUAAACAGUAACUUGGCUAGUAAGCUAACUUUGGGUUUCAGAUUUUGUUGAUGUCGCUAGCAAGCUAACUUAGAUGCUAGUGCCCCCCAGUUUUUAUUAGAUUUUCUAUGCAAGUAACCGAGAGCCGCCUACUGCCUGGGAUUGUGUUAGCUAGCAAACUUGCCACAACUGCAGUUUCCAUUCAUGUUGUUAUUGAAGACAAGACUCGCAAUCCUUCGAGACAGGGUGUUUGAGGCUGUACCCAGAGCUGAGACGGUGAACUAACCCCCUCCCCAAGGUGCCCACAGAGGGACAGGAUGCCCAUUCCUCCUCCUCCCCCUCCUCCCCCAGGACCCCCUCCUCCCCCCACCUUCAACCAGGCGAACACUACAGCACCUAAGUUGAAUCGGGAUGGCGCGAAGGGGAGAGGAGCGUUGCUCUCUGAUAUCUCCAAAGGAGCCAGGCUGAAGAAGGUUGGAGUGGUCAAUGACCGAAGUGCACCUAUUAUAGAGAAACCAAAGGAAAGUGGUGGAGGAGGUGGUGGGUGGUGGAGG